CAGAAGGAGAAGCAGUGUCCCUGCAGGGAGCCUGAUGUGGGACUCCAUCCCAGGACUCCAGGACCACACCCUGGGCCGAAGGCAGGCGCUCAACUGCUGAGCCACCCAAGGAUCCCUAAUAUCAGGCUUUCAAGCAGAAUGGAAGCCAUGGAGAUGUCCCAGUUGGAUCCCCUUUGAAGAAUGUAAUUGCUGUGCAGAUACAGGGAGCGUGGAUAGCUGACAGCCCCCAGCUGCAUCACCUGCUGGAUCAGUCUGAGUUUCAAGCUGAGGCCAUUCUCUUCCUGAACAGCUUCCCUUCAAGAAUGCACAAUGGUGGAGGAAUUAGGACAAGUCAUUUCUGCCCAUUGUAAGGAUCUAACAUUGAUGAGUAGGAUGGCCAUCUAAAUUGCUGGUAGGAUGUCUCAUAGAAGCCUAGAAAAAGAAUGUCCCAUGCUGAGGUAAGUUGAAAUGCUUGAAUUACCGUGACAGAUAAUGGAAGACUCGACAAAAGACUCAGGAAAAUGGCCAUACCGGAAUGGAUACACUAUGUGAGUCCAAAAGACCAUCAGAAAAUUAUGCUUCAAAGGAAGACUCAGAAGACACGGCACUCACAGAGGCUAUUGGGAGUGUGCUGAUAGAGGGUCGCUAGCGUUACUCAGAGGCCUGGUCAGACGUGACUCUAGGAGAGUCUGAUAGGGCCUGACGUAUUGAUAGCCACGGGGAUAGCAGGGCAUCAAAGCAACAGAGGCCAGUGGCAACCCUCAAUGGCAGGGGUGGUCACAAGGACUGUAAUGAGGAGUGAGUGGCAUUCAACAGAAGAUAGUUAACAUAACAGCAUUCCUGAGAACACAACAUGUGAGGCUGUCGCUCUGCUGAAUAUCCAUAAUCAAAAGAAAGUAAGAUUGAAAGAGCAGAAGGCUAAGGGUGGUCAUUCUAAAUAAAGUCAUAACCCUUUUCUCAAUGUACAGAAUUCCAAGUCAAUUUUUUGGCCAAGAUGAACGGAUUGAGGUGCUCAAUUCCCAAAUAGAAGCAUUCACAAUAAUUACACAGGGAAACAAUUCUCUCAGCAUUUCCCCCUUCAGCUGCAGCUGUUUACUAAGGUGAUACACUUGGAAAUGGGACACUCGAGCAUUUCAAGAGCAACUGGACACAGAGUUUGAGUUACGUCUGAUACUUAUGACCCCGAAGCCUCAUCAUGCCUUCUCUAUUAAAACAGGGGUGGCCAUGAGGCAAGCGAUGAUUAAAGUUAUGACCAAAGUCUGGUUUGUGGAACCAAUGUCCUGAAGACUGACCCAUUGGUUAAAUCUCCCAGGUUCUGAAGCGUAGUUGAACUUGAAAAUCUUGGCAGUUGGAAUAUACUCAAUAAAAUCAUCCAUCGUGGAAGAGGCAUUGAAGAACGAAAUAGACAAAAUGGCCAUCAAUUGAUGUUUUACUACCUUUGUCUUCACUCAACUCCAGAAAUGACACAGCACACACACAAGUGGAGUGGCCAUAUGCAGACUUAUGUGAGUCCAACAGCUUGGGCUCCCUAAUGUCAAAGUAAUCCAGCUGCUGUAUCUCCUGAAUCUCUAAUCUCUCAGCAACAGCCAACUCUGAAGCACUAGUAUGAAGCUAUUCCCUGAGGAAUUCAAUAAGUUAUAUUGAGGUUCUUCUCUCCUUUCUCAUAAAUGUAAACAAUUAUUCCAAGAAUGGGUUUGCCUUUCUUGCCCAUAAACCUUCAACCACACCAACAUCCAUGGUAAC